UGGGGAAUUUUGGACAAUGGGCGCAAGCCUGAUCCAGCCAUUCCGCGUGCAGGAUGAAGGCCCUCGGGUUGUAAACUGCUUUUGUACGGAACGAAACGGCUUGAGUUAAUACCUCGAGCUAAUGACGGUACCGUAAGAAUAAGCACCGGCUAACUACGUGCCAGCAGCCGCGGUAAUACAGAGGGUGCGAGCGUUAAUCGGAAUUACUGGGCGUAAAGCGUGCGUAGACGGUUAUUUAAGUCGGGUGUGAAAGCCCCGGGCUCAACCUGGGAAUUGCAUUCGAGACUGAAUAGCUAGGGUACGGUAGAGGGAAGCGGAAUUUCCGGUGUAGCGGUGAAAUGCGUAGAUAUCGGAAGGAACAUCAGUGGCGAAAGCGGCUUCCUGGACCAGUACCGACGUUCAGGCACGAAAGCGUGGGGAGCAAA
rnacentral:rRNA from 1 species